rnacentral:lncRNA from 1 species
GCUAUUUGAUUUGACAGAGUAAUGAAACAGAAAAAUAGCAAAGUCUUGUUGUCACUUCUUCAGGUCUUCAGCUCCUUAUAUAGGCAGUGAAAUAAGAGACGUUGGAGAAGAGUGUCAGCACAAAUAGAAUCGUUGAGAAGCUUCAAUCAAGAACGUUGGCCCUUUGCCUGAUAUAGAUAAUUCCGUUGAAAAGUCCUUCGAAUUUCC